GGCCCUUUAGCUCAGUGGUUAGAGCAGGCGACUCAUAAUCGUCCGGUCGCAGGUUCAAGUCCAGCAAGGGCCACCA
rnacentral:tRNA from 1 species